GAUGAAAGCUGGCGGCGUGCCUAAUACAUGCAAGUCGAGCGAAUGGAUUAAGAGCUUGCUCUUAUGAAGUUAGCGGCGGACGGGUGAGUAACACGUGGGUAACCUGCCCAUAAGACUGGGAUAACUCCGGGAAACCGGGGCUAAUACCGGAUAACAUUUUGAACCGCAUGGUUCGAAAUUGAAAGGCGGCUUCGGCUGUCACUUAUGGAUGGACCCGCGUCGGAUUAGCUAGUUGGUGAGGUAACGGCUCACCAAGGCAACGAUGCGUAGCCGACCUGAGAGGGUGAUCGGCGACACUGGGACUGAGACACGGCCCAGACUCCUACGGGAGGCAGCAGUAGGGAAUCUUCCGCAAUGGACGAAAGUCUGACGGAGCAACGCCGCGUGAGUGAUGAAGGCUUUCGGGUCGUAAAACUCUGUUGUUAGGGAAGAACAAGUGCUAGUUGAAUAAGCUGGCACCUUGACGGUACCCAACCAGAAAGCCACGGCUAACUACGUGCCAGCCGCCGCAGUAA
rnacentral:rRNA from 1 species